rnacentral:rRNA from 1 species
AUGCUGCCGGCUGGCGUCAAGUUCGAUCCCACGGAUCAGGAGCUGAUCGAGCACCUUGAGGCCAAAGUGAGUGCUGACAGCGCGAGAUUUCAGUCUCUCAUCGAUUUGUUCAUACCAACCAUCGACAGCGAGCACGACAUAUGCUACACCCAACCUGAGAAACUUCCAGGUAUCACACUGAGUGGCCUAAGGAAGCAUUUCUUCCAGCGCAAUUCCAGGGCACUCAAAAGGGGCACGUGGAUGCGUCGCAAGAUACAGUCGGAGUGCGGCAUGCACGCGAUGUGGUACAAGACCGGCAAUACCUUGCCGGUGAUGAUCAACGGCCGGCAGACGGGCAGCAAACAAGGUUCUGGUGCUGCACACCAACAAGAACUCCGACCAGCAGAGGACCAACUAGGUGAUGCACCAGUACCACCUCGGGGACCUGGAGCAAGAGAAGGAACUGGAGCUGGUCCUCUGCAAGAUUUUCUACCAGACGAACACUAG